UUCAGCCUCACAUAUACUAAAAUUAAAUAUAUUGGAACAAUACAGAGAAGAUUAGCAUGGCCCCUGUGCAAGGAUAACAUGCAAAUUUGGAAAAGGUUUACACACAGAA